GGUAAAAGCGCGCUCACUCAGAAGCAGAGCAAGUGCACCGUUAGCUCUUGUGUGGAAGUUGCCACAGCAACGCGAGCCACUGUUCCCCACCUCCCAGCCUCUCCUAAAAUCUGCUCCAGCACAUUGUCCUAGAAAAACCCUGAGCUGGGAAAGGGUAUCUGUUGCUUGCUAAGAAUGUCAUUAUCUUUGAUAAGUGUGAGUGCAGCCCCAAAAUGAGAUGCAAAGGGCGGUGCUUUUAAGAAAAAACAUUGCAGAAAGAAUAAAAAUGAUCAAAAUGGAGUUCUCAUCCAGCCAAACCCAAAAUAACCCCCUCCUCCCGCCUCCCCUUGCUUGUGUGGGAAGAAACGAAGCUGAGCAGUGGCUGGCUCUGGGAGUGCAUUUCCUGGAGGCUGUGUGCUUAAGCCGAGUACGCUUGAGUGCCAUGCUUGUUCCUUACUGCCUUUGGCCCUGGUGUGGACAAUUAAGAUUCAAAACGUCAGCGUAUCAUGUUAUCAUUCUCUUUGAGGAGUUCCCGUCAUGGCGCAGCAGAAGCAAAUCUGACUGGGAACCAUGAGGUUGCAGGUUUGAUCCCCAACCUUGCUCAGUGGGUUAAGGAUCCGGCGUUGCCAUGAGUUGUGGUGUAGGUUGCAGACGGAGCUCGGAUCCCAUGUUGCUGUGGCUGUGGUGUAGGCCGGCAGCUGUAGCUCUGAUUAGAUCCCUAGCCUAGGAACCUCCAAUAUGCCAAGGGUGCAGCCCUAAAAUAAAAUAAAAUAAAAUAGUUCUCUUUGAUUGUGGAAAACAUUCUUGGGCCAAGUGAGAGGUGGGCAUAGGGGGCACCACUGAAUGUGUCUUAGGAGUGGUUGGAGGGUUCAAGACACUUUUUUUGGUGUUUGUGUUCCUUAGCGACUUUCUUUCCAGGUACAAUCUGCAUAGCGUUUACUUUUACCCAUUUUAGGGUUGCAGCGUUUUUUGUUUGUUUGUUUGUUUUUCAUAUAUUUGCUGAGCUGUGCAGCCAUCACGGCAACUCACUUAAAACAUUGCCGUCACCCUAAAACAACCCUUCUUCCUAGUUGACAAUCUGCAUCCUCCUGCCUCCGCCCUAGGUAACCUCUCAGCCACUUCCGAUCCCUUGGAUUUGCCAGGGGAAUUUCUGGCAUUUCCUCUGAGUGGGAUCAUGCAAUAUGCAGACUUCCCUGGCUGGCUCCUUUCACUGAUUCUAAUGUUUUAAAGCUUCACCCACGUGGUAGUAGCGUGUGUCAGUACUUUGUUCCUGUUGCC
rnacentral:lncRNA from 9 species